UCCUGUGUUGCUUACCUAACAUGAUGGAAAUUGAUCUCGGAUGAGUCCUAAUUUUAGCCUCUCACCACUUGGUGAUGUUAGGUCGAUGUGAAGUACUGCCCGUUCUCCUUGAAUGCUUUGCCCUUCCGCAUUGUACUCGUGGCCCAUGGGUAGCUACUAGUUUCCUCGGAUGUAAAACUUUUAAAAGGUGCACAGCAUGUUGCUGUUGCUUACCCACAAAACGUUCACAGCUUGAUGCGUACGACGCCAUGCCCGCGUUAGUCCCCGUCUUUAACUAGUUUGGAUGGGGCUCAUUCGGUGUCGGCAUCGUAGAGGAAUGCUACCUAGUUGAUCCUGCCAGUAGUCAUAUGCUUGUCUCAA
rnacentral:misc_RNA from 1 species